CUGCAGAUAGUACGGUGGAGCAGAGACGCCUGGGCACAAGUGGCCGAGUUCCGAGUGACUUUAGGAAAGCUUCUCCCCCUUCCUGGGCAUGCAAAAGAGACUCUGCACCUGCACCGCAGUUUGCCCUGGAGAGAAGCCUCUGCUUCGCCCGCAGGGACGAGGAACUAGAGCAAGAAGCAGCAUUUGAAAAUUGCUCUUGACUCAAGGACCAAUGAAUCUCAUGAAGGGGAAUGAAGGCAGCUCCAUCUACAUGGCAAUCCAGUAGGAACCACAGUAACAUGCAUGUCCCUGAGGAACUUAAAGAGAUCUUCUCACAUCUGUAGACAUAUGAUGCUCAACAGAAUUCUGCUGAGAAUUGAAUGAUUUCUUCUGGACACAUCUGCAGCUUCUGUCUGGCUUUCUCCUGCUCUGACGGUGUUUGCUCAUUUUCCUAUAGUUUUGAUUUGCUCGGAAGGAUUCCCAGAAGCAAGGAAGGUAAGUGCAUGCCUAACUUCUCUUAGACCUUUGGGAAUUCUUCCCUCGGUUGCAGUAUUGUGGUUUUGUUUUUGUUUUGUUUUGUUUUUUUAAAAAAAAGCUGGGUGAGAUGAAAGCCCAUUUGCUCAUUUAUAAAUAUCCCCACGACAACUGGUAGCACAGAGAAGCAUGACAGACAACCGAUAUAUCCUAUCUUAGAAGUAUUGGCAUGUUUUUGUAGGAAAUACAGUUUAUUCUGGAAGACAUGACUGGCAUAAUGUUUAAAAAAACAAGUUACUAAGCACACUGAUAAGUAAUUGUGUACAUUAAAGUUUUAACGUUCUUUUUUGGCUAUUGAUUUUUGAGACAAAAAUCUUACUGUUUAGCACAGACUGGUCUCAAACUGAUGGUCAUCCUCCUGCCUCUGUCUUCAGUGCUAACAUUGUAGGUAUUAGUCACCACACUUGACGUAAAAUUUCAAUUCUACCCCAAACCAAUUAUCUAGUUUUCCUAGGAAAAUUAAUUUAUUUUUAAAAAAUUUGCUAAUAUUUGAAUCAGAACCCAAAACUGUAUAGAUUUUAGAAUUUGGCAAGUAGGAUGCCUUAGUUCCCAAAGCUGGCCACACCUUCUGUGGUUGGAAUGCAAGCCUAAGGUGUUUUGAAGAAAUCAGGGUGUUAUUCUUCUACAGGUGGUUUGAUUGGUUUUAAAGAUGGCUGUCUCUUCAGUAAAGCCUAAACCUUGUGAUGCAAUAAUAAUGAUUGAGUAGUUCUCAGACUCUACCUACAAAUACUAUUUGCUGUUUAUGCAGGACAAACAUCUUACAAACUGAGGUUGCACCUAAAUAAAACAGAAUGUCUAUAACCAUAUGCUUAAAAGAAAAACUACCCAGAAUUUUGUCAGUUACUUUUAUCCAGUGUUAAUUUUAUGUAAUAAAAUUAUAAUAUAUUGUGAAUGGCUUCUUUAGUUGGGGAAAUAUGGGAACACCUAUGGGAGGGGUUCACAUUAUAUACAUGAGAAUAUAUUCCAGUUCUAUAGGGAGUUUCAAAGGCCCGUUGAGAGGUGUCCAUUGAUCAUAAACCAUUUCAUUUAGAAACUGGGCUGUAUGUUUUUUCUUAUCCUUCUGAUUUGAAGAAAUGUAGGGAGAUAAUAUAUGAAUUCUUAUCAAGAACAGUGUCUCUCCUCCACUAUCAAAAUGAGCAGUGUAAUCUUACACAGCAUCUUGAUUUUUCCCAAGAAGGUGACUAACCAACCUGGAUACUCACACAGGGUGUGAGAUAUAUAUAACUCACAAUCUCAGUACAAAAAGAAACCUUCAGUGCAGAUGCCCUGCUGAUCCAAACCAAUUAGCUAUGUUUUCUACACUAGGGUGAAAACGCUUCAGAGGCCUUGGAAAUUAGAGUGGAGCUUUGGGUAGAGGGGAAUUUCACUUGUCUCAUGGGGGUCGUACCACUGUGAUGGAAACGCUCAUUUCCCAUAUGGGUAACAGGAAUUAUAGCAACUAUGGCCAAUUUAUAUUGAGUGAAAAAUAUGUUAUUUUUCUCUAGGUCAGGGCCACUCCUCCUGACCUCUGUUGAUAUUUUAAUCUAUAUAAUUCUUUUCAUUGGGAGAUUCUUCAGCCCUGGCUCCUGCCUGCUCUGUGACAGUUCCACCCUCCCUAAACAUCUCAUAUUCAUACACAGCCAAAGGUCCUUCAGAGACCAGCUCCCCUUGACUGAGAGCUAACUGCAAGAUAGUUUUGAUUGCUUCUUUGAUCUAUACAUAAAAUUAGUUAUAUUAGAUCUUCACACUUAUCUAAAUAGUGUGUGUGUGUGUGUGUGUGUGUGUGUGUGUAUGUGUGUGCGGGCACGCAUGCGUGCGCGCAUGUGCAUGUGUGCAGCAGGUUUCUGAACAGAGUAGACAGCUCUGACACAAAUGCUCCUGCAAAACAGUAUUUUAUCUGUGUGUGUAAAUCUGUCAUUCCAGCUGUGUGCCCAUCACCUGCAUCACUCAUGUGAUAGCAUAAGAAUAUUAAGAGUCAUUGGAUGUGGGCUAGUAGUUACUGCUUUAUUUAAAACCAAAGUGUCCAGCUAUGCUAAUGUAAAAUAUUUGCCUUCAUUUGGAUAUGAAACACUUUUCUUAUGUGUUAUCAUUACAUAUAAUAUCAUGUUUUCAGAAUCUAGUUUUGACAACAUUGAAGAAAGUAAGGUGAUAGGGACAAUUCCACAGAAAACAGCUUAUAAAAGUGGUAUUAAUUGUGCUUUGUCAUUGGUUUGGAAUUUCUCCAAAUACUAAAUAGGUUUCUUGAGAAGGCACAUAAAAUAUUGAACACUGAAGAAAAUUUGAAGUGAACAUGUGUGAGCACCAGGGAAAUAGGGUGAUGACCACAGUCUUUUCCAGGCAGAAAGAGAAACUACCAAGUUGAUACACAUUGCUUUUGAAUCUGUGUGCAUGUGUUUGGUACUGAUUUUGAUUGGAAGGAAAAACAUAAAAUUAUAAUAGUCACAUAGAAACCAAGAAGAUGAGUCAUUGGAAGAAAAUUCUCUGUGAGUACAACUUGAGACUACAAGACAGAAAAUACGUUCCAUGGCCUUAGCGUGUUCUUUUCGAAACUGUUAACGUUACUAAGACAGUAUACUGUAGUUUGAGUUCACAUUAACAAACAUGAAUAAUCUGGGUCUGUUAACUGAGGAAGCCUAAUUUCUUGAAUAAAUCAGUAAUUUCCCCAUGAGUGAGUAUGCAUGUGUGUUUGCACAUGCACGUGCAUUUACACGUGUGUGGGUGAUAUGGCCUCCCCAUUGUGUACCCGUGAGACAAAGCUGAUUUUUUUCUCCUUGUUCAUUUUAUUUUUUUGUCCAUUUUUCUAAAGUUUCUGUGGUUCUCUGCUUUAUGCUUUCUACCAGGUGCUGUGGAAAUUUUCUUGCAGUAAAAUUUAAACAUGCCUUGUUUAUAUGCUAUUAUGUGUUUACAGUUUCAGAUUUUAAUAAGUCAUCUGGAUCCACGUACCAUGGUACUGUGAGACAACAGGCUUUUCUUCAAGGGUCUUAGUUGUAGGCUAAUGCAAAAGCUGAGCUCACAUCCAUUCAGGAGUUAACUUUAGCAUCACUCUACAUAGAGCUGUAUAGCUGUAGUGUCAAGAGUUAGACAUAAAAGCCAGAAGACUUUAGAGCUCCAGUUUGUAGUAACUACAUCAUAAAAUGGCAUUAUGCCUAUAGCUCACUCUUUUUCUUUAUGAAGAGUUUAUAGUGAGUGUGCUUUGUUUGAUAUGUCACAUAAUUUUUUUAAAAUUACAGUGGAGUUUUUCUGUGGUCGUAAAUAACAGGAUCUGAAGUAAAAGGAGUGCAGAGAUAUGAGAACUUAUUGCUAGUAGAUGUUUCAUGUGAUAAAAAAAAAAACUUUCAUAGUGAAUGAGUUUACAUCAAAGAGAAAUUACAAUUUGGUUUAAUGAUGAAUUGGGAAAUAGACUUUCAGCAACUUUGCGGCUACAGGCACUUCUAUCACAGACUUUUCUAUACCAGAGUUUUACAAACUUUGACUGUACCAGGAUUACUCAAAGGGUUGAGAAAAUAUAAAUUGCUCAGCUUUGGGCCAGAGUCUCUGCUUCAAGUGAAUUCUGGAAACCUGUACAUGUGACCAGUUGUCCAGUGGUAUAUGUAAAGGCUGGCAGCCUGCAUGUAUGACCAGUUGUCCAGUGGUGUCAAAUAACCACUAUUGUAGAGCUUUACUGACACUCAGGAACCAAUUCUUAGUUGGAGCUUUCUCCAAAUGACAAAGACUAUUACAGGUUAAAUAAAUACGUUCAUAAGCUGGGAAUACUUAUUUGUAACAGACUGACAGCUUUACCAGCAGAAUGGGUGCAUUAUAAAUGAGAUUGUUUACAACAAAAUUCUUCACUAGAUAUCAAGACAGGAGAAUUUAAGAGACAAACAAAGCAGGUGAUCUCUUCUGAAGUACAAAUUUCAGUCAGCUUAAUUUUAAAAGUAUAUAGUAUAUAGGAACACAAAAAAACAAAAAUACUUAUCAUCAAUAUUUUAUUCAUCUUUUCUUUUUUUUAUUCAUCUUUUCUUGAUUAUUUCUGUUCCACAUGCUUUUAAAGAAUUAACAACUCUGUUUUCGCAGAGUUCAACCUCAUCCAAAUAUCCAGUAUCUCUUAGCCUUAUAUGAUUUUUUAUUGCUUUCAUGGACUACAGGUUUCUACUAACUCAGUACUGUUGUUUACAGUUCAUUAAGAUUCAAAUACAUUGACGUAAGUGCUAAUUCAUGAGAUAGAGUACAUUUCAUAAACUAGACAUAACUGCAAAGCACAUCUUGACAGAUAUCCAGGGCUUCCCUCAGUGAUGGUGAGCUUCAGAUACCCGAAGCACAUGGUAUAGUUGACCAUGUGGAUGAGACUGUGGGAACUGUGUCCAUUGAACAUACAAGGCAGGGUGCUGAGUGUUUGCCUAUGCUUUGUACAUUAUUUCAAAGCGCUCAGAGUAAACCAGCUACCUGAGAAGUUUCUGAAUCAGAUGUCAUAGACAGCUCAUGCUAAACCAGACGCCAGCUUCUAAUCCGCACUCCCAUUUUGAAACAAUGACAGAAGCACACGUAAGAAUGGCCCAUUUGCUGUGCGGUUGAUCGUUCACUUGAAGAUUAUACUGUACCACGGCCGGUCAAAUGUUACCAUGCAGCUUUCCACAGAAACUAUGAAAUGCUUGCUGUUCUAAGAGAAGAUGAAGACAGCAGAAAUGAAGAUGAUAUGAAGUCCUUCUCACCAUGCUUGGGAGAAUGAAUCCAAAAUUGAGUUAUGGUGCUCACACUAAACCAGGGCACAAACUCUUCUGCUUAUUUGGCAGGAACAUUGAAUCACUUAACCAAAUAAACAACACAAAUCUUUCAAACCAAGACACUGUCAAUUGAAUUAAUAUCUCAUUUGCCAAUAAAUAUGUGUUAUGGUUGACAGUAAAUUCUGCCACACUCAUGCCUGUAUGCUUUAACGUAUGCCUCUAUGCUUCCACGUAGAAUCAUGACCACUUGAGUCUACCUGUAACAUAACGCUUACAGAGAUCUGAAAUCUUGUAGUUCUUCUGACUCCAGAACAAGGGAAGACGGAAAGUUAAUGUUCCUGGUUAAGUAUUGGAAAACCAUCAUCUUUCCCCCUAUUCAAUUGAAGAAUCUUGAAUAGGGAUACUGAUUCAUUAGUGAGUAAAUAUUUUUAUAUUCUCAAAUGCAGUGGAUAAACACUACUUUAGAAUACUAAUAAUUAAACUUCAUUUUUUUUUAUUUCCUGGCUUUAUAAAGAUAUUGUUUUCCAACACUUUGCAGAUUUGGGAAUUAGGAUUAGAAGUUGUCUUCUAUUUUAGAAUGACUAAAAUGGUUAUAAUUAUAAUAAUGUAGGUCUGUCUUCCCUGUCCUUUCUGUGUUCUGUGCAGUUUACCAAUCUUAUCCUUCCUUUUCUCCAGAGGCAAAAGUACAAAUCUCUUUGACACAGGCCCUCUAGCUCAUCAUGUGCCUAUCCAAAGUGCUAUUGUUGAUGUUGGAUUCAGGGUUUUGAAUGGGGAAGAUAAUCGGUAAUAACAAAAUUGUAUCCCUUUCUUCCUGCAAUUACCUCAGAGUCCAUACAGCCUUGACAUCUGGAAGCCCCCAGCCACUGUCACAGCUGUGCUUCCUGCCCCAUUGCUGGAAGUUAAACACAUAUUCCAAAGGACAUUCAUUGUUCUGGUGUUCUCUGGGAACUCAGAAUCAAGGCUAUUAGUGAUCAUACCACUUGGUACCACGCACAUAUUGGAAUCAUAAACUCAUGUGAAACACCUAGUAUUAUUAGCCACUUACUUACAGAUGGGAUAGGUUGUGUUUGCUUAGCAACAUACACACACACACACACACACACACGCUCUUAUUUUCUCCAAUAAUCAAGGUUAGAAGGAUGUGUGCCUCAAGACACACUCCUAUUUAAACUGUUGGGAGAGAAUUAAGUUAGACAGUAAGUGGAGGAAUUUUACCACUCUGUCUUUGCUCAUAUAGAACUUCAAGUGACAAACAAAUGAACUUUCAAACACUUAGGAAUCAGUUAAGGAAUCUGGAGAUUCCCAAAUGAAAUACGGAGUCACUAAGUGUUGAUAAAAUCCAACAGACUUUUGCUAUCAAAUAAAUGUAGGGAACGAUUUUAUGAUUUGAAGCUGAUGACCACUUAUGUUUGUUUACAUGGCUUGCUUUGACUCUUUUAAAAUGAUCAAAAGGAGUGGAUGCUGAAUGGACUAGCUAUUAACUUAUCUCCAAAAAAAUAACCAUAAUGAUUAUCCUCAUUUUAAGAGCAUUAGUAAGUUUUGUUCACAAAAUUAAGAGGGAGAUGGAUUUUACUAAUGCUCUAUAAUCAUUUUGUUAAUCAAAAUGAUUGCCAGCAAUCUUCUAGAAAUUAAACUGAUUUGCUCUAGAAUAGAUUGAGGAUUGCUGAAGCUCACAGUGACACUCGGCAAAAAUAUAAUUGCAUAUGAUAUUUAUUUAGUUUACUAAUUGUAUUUUUAUUUCUGUUUAUACAUCUUGCUUUCAUUUACUGCAAAACAUUAAAAUAUUCUCAAUAGCAUAUUAUUUGUCCCAAUUUGCUAUUUAAUUCAACAUUUCCCUUUGUUGAUUAUUCUUUUUUAAUUUUGCACUCAAUGAUUAAUAAUCUUUCAUAAUUCAACAGUUUAUUUCAAAUGAUAAAAGCAGGCAUGUAUCAUUUAUGCAGUGACUUUGAUAUCUAUCCCUUUUUGGUUAGGAUUUUUGACAGUGUAUUUACAAUAUGUUCAUACAAUGUUAGUUUUAUAUAUGCUUGAACAGCUUUAGAGGGAAGUUACCUCUGAUAACCGGAAGUUACUGGACAUUAUUCUAAUAUUUUCAUAUGACAUUUCCUACUGCAGGCUUAACUUACUUUGAAGCACAUCUUUGUUUGGAUAGUGUCUGGUUUUUCAAUCUUCAUUGCUCUACAGAACUUUGCCAGGGAUCAUCCUCCCGAGGAGCAAUUACAAAGCACAGAAAGAGGUUUAGAUGAAUUUUUACAAACCCAUUUUAAAAUUCCAUACAGAAUACACAAUCCAUCUUGUCCAAUUGCUUUGUUGCCUUUCUCUGUCUGCAUUUUGCUCUCUUCGUGACAAUUCACUUUUCAUUGCCCCACAGGGAGUAAGAACAAGUUUCAUAUUGGUUUGUGCAAUGCUUGGGCAUUCAGACACAGGUGAAGUAUUUUCAGAAUCAAUACGGCAGAACUGUUUAUGAUGGUCUGUUCACACACCAUUGAUGCUUUGUAACACACUGGACAAAGCACUUCUUUUCACUGCUACUUAAACAAAAGCGCACGGGGCCCUGUGUUUGCAAUGAAGCUCCAUUGGUCUGCACGUGUGCAAAGACUUGCGUUUGGGGAGGGCUGUACUCUAGUCUUUCCUGAGAGAAGAUUCAGCUUGCAAUCACGAUCCCUCAACAGAAAUGUCUGCAGUAGCCUUGACUCUGGGCAGACAGAAAGGAACCCCCUGUGUAUCUGACUUACAGACCACUUGCAAUUGCUUAGAAGGCUAGGUUAAUGAUGAUGUCAUUCAGCAGCUCCAGACUUGAUUUAAGCUGUUUGCAACCUUGUUGAUGAGUAUUGUGCAAAACGGACUUUGAAUUAUUUCCAUUGGACACAAUAUGUGCCAGGACUGCUUACGCUUUUCUCUCUACUCUUUUUGGCUUUUCUCACACCUCAGAAAUCACUUUUAACUUUCCAAAGACAUCUCACUUCUUCACCUCAUUGUUAGAACCUUUUAUGUCAUGACAUAAAAUAUAACAAGGUGAAACUAGAAAUGAUUUAUGCAGAGGACAUUUGUGCCUUCAACAUAUUUAAGUCAGCCUUGGUAAAGUUCAAUAUCAAGAUUUUCCUACAUGGUAACUUUGGAUGAUAGAUUUUAUUUUGUUGGGGUUGAAACCAGGGCCUUACACAUACCAGGCAAGGGCACUCCUACUCAAUCACAUUCCCCACACUGGAACUACUAUCAUUGGUCAUUAAAUAGACUACCUUUAGCUACUGAGAAGUUCUUGAAUAUCAGCUAUGAGAAUAGACAGAAUGUAUCUUGGUAAAAAUAUUUCUAACCUCCUAUCUUUUAGAGAAUUUGUUACUCAGUUUUUAAAUAAAAAAAAUUAUAACAGUCACCAUAUAAACAUGUAAAACUUAAAAUAUUCUAAGAUUUGAAACUAUCACCAACAUAUUAUCAUCUGAAAUAGAUGAUUUGAGGACAGAUUUUAUAGUGUCACACAUAAAGGACCAUAAGAAGAUAUCUAAAAGGAAAAUGGCUUUUUCUUUGUCUGGUUUUCCAUGGAAACAUAGCGAAUCUGCUGGGAAAACCUUCCAGAUCAUUUUUCUCCCUUGAGAAGCUAGUAUACAUUUUUAAAAUUAUAAUUUAAUGCAAAUAUGGGAACAGAUCACUAUCUGUCUAUGGCUUAGAAUCUUCACAUGGACUGCAUAUCAUUUGCUAUGGUGGAGAAUAUUUUACUUCAAACUCUCAACUCUUGAGUUUCCCGAGAGGCACAAAAAGUGUUGAUGCUCUGCUUAGCCUUGUAAGCAAAAUAUAUCGCCAUUGAUCCAGAAGAAAAAUUACAGAGAAGAGCAGUGAACUACAAAGUCCUGACUUCCUAACAUAAAAUCACUAAACGCUCUGUAUCAACACAUGCCUUCAGAGUCAAGGCUCUUUUUACCAGGUGUGGAUAUUUUGGGCACAUUAUUUUUUCAGCACUACACAAAUCAGAACACAGCCCAAAAUAAGGAUGGGAGAACAUGAAGCCCUGCUUCAUGAAAUGUGCAUUACUUUUUAUGUGGUGUUAACAAGGUGACUCUGAUAGGCCAUCUAGCCUGUCUUAGUUUAAGAUGGAAGCACAAAGAUGUUUUCCUUCUAGACCUCAGACUUAAGAACUGAGAGAUCAGAGGAAUGACUUGAUCUGCAUUGUGCCUGCAGACCAAAAGAUUUCACAGCAUUCCUGCCUCCAUGCUAGGCCUCCUGUCUCUUUAAUGGCAUUUAAAUUACAGUCUGCUGCAGCCACACAGUCAAAACACCACAUCAUGUUGGGUACCACAUUGCAAUCCGUCAGGAUGUUGCAAUUAAAGAAUCCAUAUAUGCUUGCCCUUGUUUUUCUCUUUUGAUAGAAAAAGUAAAAGAACUGUCUUUUAAACUAGGUCUAUAGUUGAACGAAUCAAGAUGGACAAAUGACACGCUUUUAUUUAUAGAAUUUCCUUCCUUUGUGUAAUAUAUUCCUCUUAUAAUUGUAUUUUAGCAUUCUAUUUAUUUAAUAUAUCACAUGCAUGUUAUGCUUACAUAAACACACAGAAAUUAAAAGUGUAUGUCCGAUUAUAAGAAUUUUGUUUUCUCCCAAGACAACAUAUUUGAUAUAAAGCAUACUUAUACUAGACUAGUAUUAAAUAUAAAGAAAUGGCUCCACAUUCUGAAUUCUGGGAUGGCGUUCAGUACAGAUGGCGUGUUUCAAAUGUCAUACAAAGAGCAAGUUUUAAUUGGAAUAUGUACUUUUAACAUGAUGUUUAUUAUAGUGACUUCACAAUCAAACCCUUCCGAAAUUAGCAUUCACUCAGUAUUCCUAAAGAUCCACAAAAAGAUGCUACACUUUCUACAAAAGCACUAUACAUCCACCUCAUUCAACGGUUCACAUAACAACACAUGUGUCUAGACAUCUAUACCGUCAGUGAGCAAAGCAGAGAACUAGCUUCCAGGAGCACAUGCCAUCCUCAUAGCUGGCCAGAGAGCUUUGCUUUCAUUCUUCAGAGUGUAGUAUGAACGUACUGUGUUUGCAAGAGGAGGUUAGGUCACUCACAACAUAAAGAGGUUUUACAUAAUAUGCUUGCUCAUUUUAAAACUGAGGUGGAAAGUAAGUGACUUUAAUGUUCUCAUGGGAGGAAUUUUUGUUUUGUUUUUGUCAUUGUUGGUUUGUUUUGCUUUCUGAAACUCUUUUAAGUAAGCAUUACCUGAAAAUAUUUAUACAAAAAGGUGUGUCUCAGUUUUUGAAAAACCGGUUCACUAGAAAUCAAUGGAUUCCUAAGCUUCUGAAAGUUCUGAACUUUGAGAAAUUUUCAUUUACAUUCUCUCUCAUUCUCUCUCUCUCCCCACUCUUCUCUCUGUGUGUGUAUGUGUGUGUGUGUGCACACACGUGCAUGUGUGCAUGUAUGUAAAAAAUUACAUUUUAAACUAUAUGAAACAUGGAAAUAAAAAGAAUGACUGUGCAGAUAGUUCUCAAAUUGGGAAUGUCUAAGAUCUUACAACAUUUUUUCACCUCCCUAAGAAACCAGGUAAGGAAUGACAAUUUAUUUACUGCGAAGUGGGACGAUUUAGUUCUUUCUUCUACUGAGUUGGGUUAAAUGUGCUCACAUUGAAUUAAUGUUUGGCAAAAAAAAAAUCAUGAUAAAUAUUUUACUGACAGGUAGGUAUGUUAAGCUAAAUUGAGCCACCCGAUAUAAUGUUUUAAUUAAAAUACAGUUUUGUUUUGUUAGAAACAAUGGCAAAGAAGGAAUAGCCAUAUCUGGAAGUCAUAUCCUAGAGAGGGACUUCUGCAUGUGUGGGGAACAGUCAACUUUACAAUAUGACUCUAUGACUCUCCUCCCCAUUCAUGCCUAGAAUUCAGGAUAGAUUUUUUUUUUCGGGAAGCCCAUUGCGUGAUUAUAUAUAAAACAUACACAUACAUAUUUGUCAAUAUGUAAAUACAAACUGCUUAGUCUGUAAAAUGUUACUUGUCUCUUGUUGGUUUAAUUAGGUCUCUUAUACUGUUUUAUUCUGUGUCAUGGUAUCAGCAUGAAACUCUCCUGGCCUAGAACUCAUUAUGUAAACCAAGCUGUCCUGGAACUCAUAGAGAACUGCUUGCCUCUGCCUCCUUGCUGUUGGAAUUAAAGCCAUAUACUAUUAUACUUGGAGAUUUGGAGUGCAUAUGAAAAGGGUGAAAUCUUUUAGAAUGAUAUGAUAUGAAACUCAAAAAAGCUUUCUUUACAAAUGUAAAAGAAUGAAAUGUGUUUGUGCACAUGAAUACCUAUUAGUAGCUACUUGAGUAAUUUUACAAAGCCUUACUAAGUCAUUUUAUUUUAUCCAAAUUCACUUUUCAUUAUAUGAGGUCAACACUAAUAGAAUUUGCACUUAAUAUGAAAAAAUAUAUUUUAAUGCUACAAAGCAUUCAUUUAAAGAACAGCUCAAAUUACCAUCCAGCUCUAGAACAUUCUCCCUCUGUCAAAGAACUGUAUACCCGUUCCAACAUAUGCCCAGUGCGUCCCAUCAGCUGCCAUUGCACUCUGUGUAUCUCUGGAUCUGAAUACUCUGCUACAUCAUGUGGACAAGUGAAUACACAUUUGAUUGGCUCAUUCCAGUUAUCUAGAGGCUCUCAUAUUUAAUUCACCUGGAAGAAGGAUAUGCUUCCUUUGAUUGGCUCAUUCCAAUUAUCACAAGGCCCUUAGACUUCAUUCAUUUGGAGGAAGAAUAUUUUUCCUUUUCUAGACCAAAUCAUUUUUCACUAUACAUACAUAUAUGUGUGUGCAUGUAUAUACCCACCGUUCAUCCAAUUUACCAACUUGUGGCUUGUCAUGAAUAAUGCUAUUAAGGAACAAACAAACAACAACAAGAACAGCAAACUAUCAAAAUAGUUGUUGAAUCUUUUAUUUUCAGGGAUUUUUGGCUAUGAAGAUUCUUUUCUAAACUUGUAUAACUCAGUAUAGAGCACCUGUGGUCUUGUCAGUAAGAGUACCUGUGAUCUUGUCCUUCAGAGGGUACAACCACCUGGGAUCUUGUGGGGGUAUGAGUGUCUGUGAUCUCAUCAGUAAGAGGGUAUGAGUGUCUGUGAUCUCAUCAGUAAGAGGGCAUGAGUGUCUGUGAUCUCAUCAGUAAGAGGGUAUGAGCACCUGUGAUCUCAUCAGUAAGAGGGUAUGAGUGUCUGUGAUCUUAUCAGUAAGAGGGUAUGAGUGUCUGUGAUCUCAUCAGUAAGAGGGUAUGAGCACCUGUGAUCUCAUCAGUAAGAGGGUGUGAGUGUCUGCGAUCUCAUCAGUAAGAGGGUGUGAGUGUCUGUGAUCUCAUCAGUAAGAGGGUGUGAGUGUCUGUGAUCUCAUCAGUAAGAGGGUGUGAGUGUCUGCGAUCUCAUCAGUAAGAGGGUGUGAGUGUCUGCGAUCUCAUCAGUAAGAGGGUGUGAGUGUCUGUGAUCUCAUCAGUAAGAGGGUAUGAGCACCUGUGCUCUUCUCAGAAUGAGCAUUUGUGAUCUUCUAGCUACAAGCACCUGUGAUCUUGUCAGUAUCAGCGCCUGUGAUCUUGGUGAUACAAGCACCUUUUAUCUUGUGAUUUUUGUCCUUAUGAGUACCUGUGAUUUUUGUCAGUAUGAGGGUAUGAGCACCUGUGCUUUUACUAGUAUGAGCACUUGUGACCUUGGGUAGUAGGCUUUUAGUUUUUUAUUAAUGCUUUCUUUGGAUUGAUAUAAAGCGGAACGCUGAUAAUUGUUUUUAAGUUUUCAAAUUUUAAAAUAUUUUCUGACAUGAAUGUUACCAUUUUAACUAAUGAAUAAAACUUUUGUUAAUGUAAUAUUCAUUCUGCUCUUCUUAACUUCAAUCUUGUAAAACUGAGAAUUCUCCCUGAUAACACAAUCUUGUGCAUUUUAUAGAGGCAGUUCCAGUUUUAUGAAAUCGCCAUCACAAAAGUAAUGUAUACUUUUAAGAUAUUAACUAUAGUCUAUGAGUUAAUAAAUGCUGGAUAGGUAAGUCUAUAGAUGUAUAUAUAAAUCAACCAUUAAGGAAUCUCAUUUGACCUUCCUUACCCAUCUUAGCAGAGAAUAAAGUGAGAUUUUAAAAAUGUGUCAUACAACCCAUCCAUUAUUAAGGGGCAAAGAGAGAGUGCCAGCUCAUGCCUUUCUACUAUCAAACUCACUUCAAACACAGUACAUCGCAGCAUCCCUCUGCUGAGUGAACUCUUAUAAAAGCGCUCCAGUACAUCACACUGCAGUUGGCUGCACAUCUCCGGAAAGAUGAUCUCUGAAAAAUGGAAUCAUGUUUGGGAAUCUCGCAGCUAAUAAUUCAUUUGGAUUGCUGGUUCUUUUUGUUCUCCUAUUGUCCAUGUGACACAUAACCACCACUGGUUUCACUAAAGUUAAUUUAGCAUGACAUUUUUAAAAGCUAGGUCAAAGCUAUGCAAACAGAAUGACACUUAAAUAGAUUAUCUCAAGUGUGCAACAUCCUGUAUAUUAAAUUUGUUUUAUUUUAUUAUGAUGCUCAGGCUGACCUUGAACUUUCAAGCUUCUUGCCUCAAUAUCAUAGUACUUGUUUUACAGAGGAGCAUCAUGUCUACCUCCUUACCACAAUCCAUUGGCUUGUUUCUUUCUUUGCUUGCUUGUUUUAAGACAUGGACCUCAGUAUUCUAGGCUGGCCUAGAACUCACUAUGGAACUGAUUCUCCAGUUUCCACCUCCCAAGUGCUAGGAUCAUUGAUGUGCAUUUCCAUUCCUUUAAUUCUCUUACAAGAGUAAGCCUCCUGUUUUAUAUUUAUUGUGAUUAAGAGCAAAAUAUUUAAACCUUAGUCCCAUUGCCUUUAAGAAGAACUGUUGAA